rnacentral:lncRNA from 1 species
GAAUAUAGCAGCUUGUAGAGUUAUACCACUUGCCCAAAUCUCUUCCAUGAGCCUCUUUAAGUGUAACAGAAUGCCUGGGAGCACGUAAAUGCUCCUACUUAGAUGCCUACUUAGCCUCUAAUUUUCAUGGGGCCCAUGAAUCCCAUGAAAAAGAACUUUGAACCCUGUCCACAAUUAGAGUUCAGGUAUACGCAGACAUGUUUAAAGACAAGGGACACCCAAAGGAAAGAUUGCACAGAGAGAAAGUGAGCAUCCGAGAGAAAAUCACCACAAGUGAGGCAGAGGGAGGCCGGUCUCAGCAGAGUUUUGGAGGUCGUGAGAAGAAGAGAUAAAGGCAAACCAGUGCUCAGAGGAACCCAACCAUCUCUGAAUUGAGACCAGAGAGCUGUCUCUAUGGAUAGUCCUUAGAGAAGGCAUUUCGGAACACAGUAAACAGCAGCCUGGUGACUCCGAUUACAGGGCCAGUUGCCUUUGUUACAAUAAAAGCAAGUCAUCUACACAGAUUUUUCCUACCAGGAAGAGCAUGUGCUGACCAACAGACAUGAAUUUCAGCCUGGUAGUUACAACAUUCACAGGAGUUUCACUCGUUGCCCAGGCUGGAGUGCAACGGCGCGAUCUCAGCUCACUGCAACCUCCGCCUCCCCAGUUCAAGCGAUUCUCCUGCCUCAGCCUCCUGAGUCACUGGAAUUACGGGCGCCUGACACCACGCCCAGCUAAUUUUUUGUAUUUUUAGUAGACAUGGGGUUUCACUAUGUUGGCCAGGCUGGUCUCGAACUCCUGACCUCAUGAUCCUCCUGCCUCAGCCUCCCAAAGCACUGGGAUUACAGGUGUGAGCCACUGUGCCUGGUCCAUUAAAAACAUUUGUAAAGCUAUGGUGUUGAUAAAGUAUUAUGAAAGACUGCAAAAAAAGAUGGCUAAUUUUUAGUUAUUAUUGCACAUGUUUAGAGGAGCUAAUGACAUUUUCUAUGAUUAAUAAAAGACAUUAUUUAUGUUUUUAUUUAUGUAUUCCACAACAUUUAUUUUAUUUUCUCCAUUUCAGGAAAACCACUAUGUUGUUACAAUAAAGAUUUUCAUGUAAUUUGUGUUCAAUUGAUAGUAAUAAUGUAACAAGUUAAAAAUGAAGGUAAUUGUGUUUAAAAUUUGAGCAUAUUUUCAUCAAAAUGUAAGUUAAAGUGAUUGUAAAUUUUAAGAUCAUAAUUACUUUGUAUAUCUUCAAGAAAAUUAUUGUUUUAAAAUAUUUAUGCCUAUUAAAAUUAGAAGGCAAAAUAAAAAUAUAUGAAUACCAACAUUUUAAAUAAAAAUCAUUUAAAUAA